GAUGAACGCUAGCGGGAGGCCUAACACAUGCAAGCUGAGCGAGCGGCGUACGGGUGCGGAACACGUGUGCGACCUGCCUUUAUCUGGGGGAUAGCCUUUCGAAAGGAAGAUUAAUACUCCAUAAUGAAAGGCGGAUAGAGAUGGGCACGCGCAAGAUUAGCUAGUUGGUGAGGUAACGGCUCACCAAGGCAAUGAUCUUUAGGGGGCCUGAGAGGGUGAUCCCCCACACUGGUACUGAGACACGGACCAGACUCCUACGGGAGGCAGCAGUGAGGAAUAUUGGUCAAUGGGUGCAAGCCUGAACCAGCCAUCCCGCGUGAAGGACGACUGCCUAUGGGUUGUAAACUUCUUUUGUAUAGGGAUAUGAAGGUACUAUACGAAUAAGCACCGGCUAACUCCGUGCCAGCAGCCGCGGUAAUACGGAGGGUGCAAGCGUUAUCCGGAUUUAUUGGGUUUAAAGGGUCCGUAGGCGGACUUAUAAGUCAGUGGUGAAAUCCUGUCGCUUAACGAUAGAACUGCCAUUGAUACUGUAAGUCUUGAGUAUAUUUGAGGUAGCUGGAAUAAGUAGUGUAGCGGUGAAAUGCAUAGAUAUUACUUAGAACACCAAUUGCGAAGGCAGGUUACCAAGAUAACUGACGCUGAGGGACGAAAGCGUGGGGAGCGAACAGGAUUAGAUACCCUGGUAGUCCACGCCGUAAACGAUGCUAACUCGUUUUUGGAGCUUCAGAGACCAAGCGAAAGUGAUAAGUUAGCCACCUGGGGAGUACGCUCGCAAGAGUGAAACUCAAAGGAGUUGACGGGGGCCCGCACAAGCGGUGGAUUAUGUGGUUUAAUUCGAUGAUACGCGAGGAACCUUACCAAGACUUAAAUGGUCAAGGUGCUGCAUGGUUGUCGUCAGCUCGUGCCGUGAGGUGUUAGGUUAAGUCCUGCAACGAGCGCAACCCCUGUCACUAGUUGCCAUCAUGGGGACUCUAGUGAGACUGCCUACGCAAGUAGGAGGAAGGUGGGGAUGACGUCAAAUCAUCACGGCCCUUACGUCUUGGGCCACACACGUAAUACAAUGGCCGGCAGAGGGCAGCUACACAGCGAUGUGAUGCAAAUCUCGCCGGUCUCAGUUCGGAUGGAGUCUGCAACUCGACUCUAGAAGCUGGAAUCGCUAGUAAUCGCGCAUCAGCCAUGGCGCGGUGAAUACGUUCCCGGGCCUUGUACACACCGCCCGUCAAGCCAUGGAAGCUGGGGGUACCUGAAGUCGGUACCAGGAGCUGCCUAGGGUAAAACUAGUAACUAGGGC
rnacentral:rRNA from 2 species